rnacentral:rRNA from 1 species
GGAACUUUAGAAGCUUGCUUUUAAAGUUUAGUGGCGCACGGGUGAGUAACGCGUGGGUAACCUGCCUUCAAAUCUGGGAUAACUUAUGGAAACGUAUGCUAAUACCGGAUAAUCUCUGGUCUCGAAUGGGAUCGGAGUAAAAGCCGCCCUCUAUUUAUAAGGUGGUGUUUGAAGAGGGGCCCGCGUCCUAUUAGUUUGUUGGUGUGGUAAUGGCGCACCAAGACUGAGAUGGGUAGCCGGCUUGAGAGAGUGAUC